rnacentral:hammerhead_ribozyme from 1 species
AUUCAGCUGACGAGUCCCUCAUAGGACGAAACGCGCGUCCUGGAU